rnacentral:rRNA from 1 species
GCGGGCUUCCGACUUUCACUGCCAACCCAUGUGACAUACCUACUGUUGCUUCGGCGGGAUUGCCCCGGGCGCCUCGUGUGCCCCGGAUCAGGCGCCCGCGUAGGAAACUCAACUCUUGUUUUAUUUUGGAAUCUUCUGAGUAGUUUUUACAAAUAAAUAAAAACUUUCAACAACGGAUCUCUUGGUUCUGGCAUCGAUGAAGAAGCCAGCGAAAUGCGAUAAGUAAUGUGAAUUGCAGAAUUCAGUGAAUCAUCGAAUCUAAGAACGCACAUUGCGCCCGCCAGUAUUCUGGCGGGCAUCGCUGUCUGAGCGUCAUUUCAACCCUCAUGCCCCUAGGGCGUGGUGUUGGGGAUCGGCCAAAGCCCGCGAGGGACGGCCGGCCCCUAAAUCUAGUGGCGGACCCGUCGUGGCCUCCCCUGCGAAGUAGUGAUAUUCCGCAUCGGAGAGCGACGAGCCCCUGCCGUUAAACCCCCAACUUUCCAAGGUUGACCUCAGAUCAGGUAGGAAUACCCGCUGAACUUAAGCAUAUCAAUAGGCCGGAGGAAAUCAUUACCCAGUUUACAACUCCAUUCCAUGUGAACAUACCUACUGUUUGCUUCGCGGGAUUGCCCGGGCGGGUCGUGUGCCCGGAUCAGGCGCCCGCCUAAGAAACUCACUCUUGUUUUUAUUUUGGAAUCUUCUGAGUAGUUUUUACAAAUAAUAAAAACUAUCAACAACGGAUCUCUUGGUUCUGGCAUGAUGAAGAACGCAGCGAAAUGCGAUAAGUAUGUGUAUUGCAGAAAUUCGUGAAAUCUUCUAAACUUUUGAACGCACAUUGCGCCAGCCAUAUUUUGGGGGGGCAUGCUGG